rnacentral:rRNA from 1 species
AAACUAACAAGGAUUCCCCUAGUAACGGCGAGUGAAGCGGGAAGAGCUCAAAUUUGUAAUCUGGCCCUUUCAGGGUCCGAGUUGUAAUCUCGAGAAGUGUUUUCCGCGUCGGACUGCAUACAAGUCUAUUGGAAUAUAGCGUCAUAGUGGUGAGAGCCCCGUAACUGAUGCAGAUGCCCGAUGCUUUGUGAUACACUUUCGAAGAGUCGAGUUGUUUGGGAAUGCAGCUCAAAUUGGGUGGUAAAUUCCAUCUAAAGCUAAAUAUUGGCGAGAGACCGAUAGCGAACAAGUACCGUGAGGGAAAGAUGAAAAGCACUUUGGAAAGAGAGUUAACAGUACGUGAAAUUGUUGGAAGGGAAACGCUUGAAAUCAGACUUGCUAUUCGGAAUUCAGCCGCAAGGUGUACUUUUCGAUUUGCAGGCCAGCAUCAGUUUUUGGGGGUGGAAAAGGGUGGAGAGAAGGUAGCAACCCCGGUUGUGUUAUAGCUCUUCACUGGAUUCAUCUUUGGGGACUGAGGAUCGCAGUGCGCAUUUAUUUGCAAACCUCUCGAGGUUUUCGUACUUAGGAUGCUGGUGGAAUGGUUUUAAACGAC